rnacentral:rRNA from 1 species
UACGGGGGGGGCAAGCGUUGUUCGGAAUUACUGGGCGUAAAGGGCGCGUAGGCGGUUUGCUAAGUUGGAUGUGAAAACUCUGGGCUUAACCCAGAGCCUGCAUCCAAAACUGGCAAACUUGAGUACUGGAGGGGAAAGCGGAAUUCCUGGUGUAGCGGUGAAAUGCGUAGAUAUCUGGAGGAACACCGGUGGCGAAGGCGGCGUCCUGGACCAACACUGACACUGAUGAGCGAAAGCCAGGGGAGCAAACGGG